GUAGCCACCUAGCAUUUUACUUUAUAGAGCAAAAAAAAGGAAGAAGUAUAAGAUGUAAGGAAGUUGGAUCUGGUACUUCACUGUCCGCCUCUUCGAAGCUCGCAAAUGGCAUAUUCUCCAUUCAUUCCCCCUCUUCCCUCUUCCUCUUCUGGGCUUUCACCUUUCUCCAAAAGCCAUUUUUCUUCCUCUUUCCUUUAUAUAUAUAUAUAUUUAUAUAUUUAUAUAUUUUGCCCUAAUAUUCGCAUCAUUCAACAACUUGGGUCUCCCUUUUGAUUUCCUAUCCUCGCUUUCUCCGCUGCCUUUCUCUUUCUGAGCAGAAAUGUCAACCCUGUCAACUGCAAAGCUCCCUACCCACUUCAUGUACAACACGCAAUCUAAAAAUCAACUUGGUAGCACCAUCAUCAAGUGUCCAUCGUCAAUUGGAUCUACGAGAAACAUUUGGAAAUCCUUUGGCUUGAAUUCACGUCCCUCAUUCAGAGCCCGUGCAAUGGCAGUUUUCAAAAUUAAACUUGUCGAACCAUGUGGGAAAGAGCAUGAGUUUGAGGCAUCUGAUGAUACGUACAUUCUUGAUGCAGCUGAAGAAGCGGGAGUAGACUUACCUUAUUCUUGCAGGGCAGGUGCGUGUUCUACGUGUGCUGGGAAAAUAGUUUCGGGUUCGGUCAAUCAAUCAGACGGGUCGUUCCUUGACGAUGAUCAAAUGGCAAAGGGUUACUUGUUAACCUGUGUAUCACUCCCAACUGCAGAUUGUGUGAUUCACACACACAAGGAAGAAGAACUGAUCUGAGUACGAUAGUUUGAAUGAUACAGAGUGUUUUCUUGUUUCAUGGUUUUCAUUUGUAAUGUCAUAUUAUUAAAAAAAAAAAAAAAAAAAUAAAUCAAAUGUGUGAACUUUCUCGUCAUGCAUUUUCCUUGUUA